CGCUCGCCCCGGGAGGGAGCCCGCGGCCAGGGCUGGACUCUCGCCCCGCCACCUCCACCGACUCUCUCCUCAGCCUCCGCGCCUGGCACCGCAGCAAGACUUGAAUGAAGUGAUCAUGUAAACUAGAGAAAGGAGAUUAAAAAUAACCUCUGGAUAUUCCUCUCAUGUGAUCUUUAUUCUGGAUGAAGCAUUAGGACAGCUAAUAGCCGUGUGUCACUUAAAAAUCCAACUUGAGAACUGUCACCAAAGAUGUCUAGGAACUUUGAAGAAACAUGAAGGUUUGUCCUCAUUCUGUCCUAAGUUGAAAUGAGAUUUAGAAAAGAGUCUAAGUGAACAUUUCCCAACCCAAUUCCUGUAGCACUCGAUGAAAUACACAGCUAUCCUAUUUCUCUCUAUUGAAAUUACAUAUACCCUAAAACAGUUUGAGAAUUUAUCACGCACCAGGCUUACCAAGUACUUUAUAGAAACCAUAUAUGCUCUUUUAUUCCUUACAAGAGCCCCAUGAGAAAGAUUCUGUUAUAUCAUUCUUUGUAAUACCUUUGAGGACAUGAGGAACAAAGAAGUUAAAUGACAUGAAAUUCCCACAACCAGCAAGUAGUAGACCUGGAAUUUGAAUUAUCAGGAAAUCUUGCUCUAAAGAAUAUAGGCUUCAUCUUUAUAUAUGUAUGUUUAUAUUAUAUUUAUUAUGCAUAAAACAUCUACAUAUACUUGCACAUAUUAAAAACUGGGGUCUUUGUUAAUGCCAGGCCAAAUCAAUGACAAAUAUUUGAUUCUUUCGCACUCUCACUUCUCAUAGUGCUGGAAGAACAGAUGCCAUGCAAAAGAGGGACUAUUUUUAUCUUUACAGAUUUGUACUAUUUUGGAAUUCCAGUGUCACCAGGUGAAUCCCAAAACGGUUUAGCCUGGGAGGACACGUGGGUUCUUGACUUCUAACAGGAAGAGAUUUAAGAGUCGGGGGACAGAGAGAAGUUCAAAGGAAGUUUAUUAAGAAAGUAAAGGAACAAAAGGGUGGCCACACCAUAGGCAGAGCAGCCUAGUUGGCUACAUUUAUGGUUAUUUCUUGAUCAUAUGCUAAACAAAGGGUGGAUUAUUCAUUAGUUUUUCUGGAAAAAGGCAAGGAAUUCCUGGAACUGAGGGAUCCUCCCUCUUUCGGACCGUAUAGGGUAACUUCCUGACAUUGCCAUGGCAUUUAUAAACUGUCCUGGUGCUGGUGAGAGUUUCCUUUAGUAUGCUAAUGUAUUAUAAUUAGCUUAUAAUGAGCAGUGAGGACAACUGGAAGUAGCUUUUGUUACCAUCCUAGUUGUGGCUGGUGUGGGCUGUCUUCUUUACUGCGUCCCGUUUUGUCAUUGGGAUCUUUGUGACCUGUACCUUGAGAAACAGCAGAGCCAGUGCCACCAAACUAUCUCACCAGUGGCAGUUGGAAAAAUCAUUCUAGAUGUUUACCAGGCCUGCUACAACUAGUUCAUGAAGAAAAGCAAUUGAUAUUUUUAAUGAGGACCCAAUGUCUCUGGGUAAUGAGAAGCAAGAAGUAGGAAGGAGCUUAGCCUAUACAUCACUCAACUCGGAACACAAACCUGAGUACCCAGUGGGUACCGAUCCCUAUACUUCCCUCACCAGCUGGGUCUGUAGUUCGGCUGCUAAAAAAUGAACUAGCCACCUUUAACAUAUACAUUUCUUCUUCCCAUUUACCCCAACUACUCAAUAAGGAAUAGGCACCCUUUGCUGAAAUUCAUCUGUAUGCCUUCUUGUAAGAUCCAUGAUACUCAGAAAAGGAGUGAUAAGGACUUAUGUUCAAAUGGAGAAUUGUUCAGAAUUGAAAUAAGAAUGUAAAGUAGCCCAGUUUUAAAGAUUUCUGGCCCCAUGGAUUGCAAGUGCCUCUCUGUGUGUGCAUAUAAAUAAAUCCAUGGCUACACUUAGCCUUUGUCAGCUUGUAAAUUUUAGGAGACAGGAGGCUUUAAUACAAAUAUUUUUUAGAUCUUCUAAACGUGAUCUUGAUGAUUUUUGGAUUGCAUGAGCCAAUUUAAUUUUCUAACUUGUUUUUUUUAUUUUAUUAUUAUUAUACUUUAAGUUUUAGGGUAC
rnacentral:lncRNA from 1 species